rnacentral:rRNA from 1 species
GUACACGCUGUGACUAGCAUAUCAAUAAGCGGAGGAAAAGAAACUAACAAGGAUUCCCCUAGUAACGGCGAGUGAAGCGGGAAGAGCUCAAAUUUGAAAUCUUAAAGGGUUUCCCUUUACGAAUUGUAGUUUAAAGAAGUGUUUUCUGUUGAGGUUUUGGUAAAAGUUCUUUGGAAUAGGGACAUCAUAGAGGGUGAGAAUCCCGUAUUUGACCUUUACUUUCAACUUUGUGAUACACUUUCAAAGAGUCGGAUUGUUUGGGAAUGCAGUCCAAAAUGGGUGGUAAAUUUCAUCUAAAGCUAAAUAUUGGCGAGAGACCGAUAGCGAACAAGUACCGUGAGGGAAAGAUGAAAAGAACUUUGAAAAGAGAGUUAAACAGUACGUGAAAUUGUCAAAAGGGAAGCGUUUGACACCAGUGUUGUUUUUCUGAAAAUCAAUUAAAGAACUGUUUAUGCUAAGCUGUUUAGACUUUAUCAGCUAUCUGUUUAGUUUUGAGCUUUUCUUUAAUGCACUUUUCAGUUAACAAGUCAACAUCAACUUCUUUUGCUGUAAAAAAGCUUGAGGAAGGUGGCUUGAGAUUCGUCUUAAGUGUUUAUAGCCUCUUGCCUAUGCAGUCGGAGAGAUUGAGGUCUGCAGCGUAGAUCCUUCGGGGCUAAAUGCAUUUGUGCUAAGUUAUAGCAUUUUAUAGACAACUUGUUGACUAUGAUUUGUCUUGUAGCUUACUCGCUUAUGUUAUUUUACCUACGCUUAGGAUGUUGAUAUGCAUGACUGAUAU